UACGGGGGGGGGUAAGCGUUGUUCGGAAUUACUGGGCGUAAAGGGCUCGUAGGCGGCCAACUAAGUCAGACGUGAAAUCCCUCAGCUUAACUGGGGAACUGCGUCUGAUACUGGAUGGCUUGGAUUCGGGAGAGGAAUGCGGAAUUCCAGGUGUAGCGGUGAAAUGCGUAGAUAUCUGGAGGAACACCGGUGGCGAAGGCGGCAUUCUGGACCGAUAUUGACGCUGAGGAGCGAAAGCCAGGGAGCAAAGCGGG
rnacentral:rRNA from 1 species